rnacentral:lncRNA from 1 species
GAGCUGUUUAUCUUUUCCAUCUAGGCAGAAGACUGAAUUGAGAGACUCGGGGGGCAGGACACAUGGCAGGCUUCGGAGGCCAAUAGGCCCAGGGAGUUCUAGCCAUCCUCACAAACACUCAACACUCGUGCUGGGGGUAGAGCAGCAGGUGUGCUGCUUGGAGGUCUCCUAGCAACAAGAU